GUUGAAGAACGUAGCGAAAUGCGAUAAGUAAUGUGAAUUGCAGAAUUCAGUGAAUCAUCGAAUCUUUGAACGCACAUUGCGCCCAUCAGUAUUCUGUUGGGCAUGCCUGUCCGAGCGUCAUUUCAACCCUCAGGGCCCGUUCGCGGGAACUGGUGUUGGGGAUCGGCCUCCCCCCGGAGGCCGGCCCCGAAAUGCAGUGGCGGCUCUACCGCGAUCUCCUCUGUGUAGUAGCGAUACCUCGCAGCUGGAUAGUGGUGGUGCCACGCCGUAAAAUCCCAACUUUACCAAGGUUGACCUCGGAUCAGGUAGGAAUACCCGCUGAACUUAAGCAUAUCAAUAAGCGGAGGA
rnacentral:misc_RNA from 1 species